AUCUAGUAAGCAAACUGUUUUCCUGAGUUCUGUGAGCUGUUCUAGCAAAUUAGUUGAACCUGAGGAGGAGGUUGUGGGAACCUCUGAUUUAUAGCCAAUUGGUCAGAAGCACAUGUGAUACUCUGCACUUGCAAUCGGCAUCUGAAGUGGGGGCAGUCUUGUGAAACUGAACCCUUAACCUGUGAGAGCUGAUGCUAUCUCCAGCUAAAUAGUGGCAGAAUUGAGUUAAAUUGUAGGGAGCAUAGCUGGUGUCUGCUGGAGAGUUGGAGAAUUGGUUGAUUUGGAAAAAAUCACACACAUUUGGUGACCAGAAGUGCCAGAACUGAAGUAUUCAUAGAAAGGAUUUACUGCAAAGACCCACAUUUCCCAGUGCGACUUAGGGGUCUUCAUUUCUUUGUGUAGAUUGAAACUUAUCCCUGGUAUCAUGUUUCUUCUGCUUGAAGAGCAUCCUUUAACAUUUCUUGUAGUUUGGGCUCUUCUCCAAAGACGUCACUGGACACUCAAAUCAAAGAUUGGAGAGAUCCCAAAAAAGCAUUCCUCAUAGUAGGAGCCAGAGUGAGGAGAAUAGCAGCAGUGAAUCCUACCAAGAUAUGUUUCUUCUAUUUCAUCUAUGGAACAAAACCCCUAAAUGUGAAAGAGUGUCUGGCUACGUCUUCUCCAUGUGGGACACCUACCAAAGCAUGGCGUGCCAAGUGGUGCCAUGUCCGCACCCAGGAUCCGAACCCACGAACCCCAGGCCGCAGAGAAGUGGAACGUGGGAACUUAACUGCUGCGCUACUGGGCCAGCCCUCAGCACUUUUGAACAUGUGGCCUGUAAGAUUUCUGCAGAGACAUCCCCUGAUACCCUUAUGUGGUUUCCCUCAUAUGUGACGAUUUUCUUUCUGUCGCUACUUUUAAAAUUCUCUUUGUCAUUGAUUUUAGAUAGUUUUAUUAUAACGUAUCUUGGAAAAGAUUGUUUUGGGUUGAUAUCUUG
rnacentral:lncRNA from 1 species